UGGAAGUAGUCCGGCUGGACGAGGAACUCCGUUCGAAGCGGAGCGCGGCGCAACGCCGUUGGGGGUUCAAGUCCCUCUGCUUCCGUC
rnacentral:tRNA from 1 species